rnacentral:rRNA from 1 species
CCUACGGGGGGCUGCAGUAGGGAAUCUUCGGCAAUGGACGAAAGUCUGACCGAGCAACGCCGCGUGAGUGAAGAAGGUUUUCGGAUCGUAAAACUCUGUUGUUAGAGAAGAACAAGGACGUUAGUAACUGAACGUCCCCUGACGGUAUCUAACCAGAAAGCCACGGCUAACUACGUGCCAGCAGCCGCGGUAAUACGUAGGUGGCAAGCGUUGUCCGGAUUUAUUGGGCGUAAAGCGAGCGCAGGCGGUUUCUUAAGUCUGAUGUGAAAGCCCCCGGCUCAACCGGGGAGGGUCAUUGGAAACUGGGAGACUUGAGUGCAGAAGAGGAGAGUGGAAUUCCAUGUGUAGCGGUGAAAUGCGUAGAUAUAUGGAGGAACACCAGUGGCGAAGGCGGCUCUCUGGUCUGUAACUGACGCUGAGGCUCGAAAGCGUGGGGAGCAAACAGGAUUAGAUACCCCGGUAGUC